rnacentral:lncRNA from 1 species
CUUUCCCAGUGCACAUUCACCACAGAAAUUUUCUUUGCAGUCAUUCACAGUUAUGUUCAUUUGUUUUAAAACAUUCUUCACAUGCUGUUUGUGUUGGCAAUCAAAUUUUUCAUGAUAUACUUGCAGCAUGUUGGAUGAUACAACCAGGUUCAUUUGAACAAUUUGCUCUGGUUUAACAACAUGAAUAUUAAGUAUAUACAGUCCGUUCCUCAUAUAUCCAGUCACUAUUGUAUUUCUGUUAGUUUUGUCUCGUAUCAUGAUGCCUAUAUUGUCAAGUGUUUUAUUGUAACCAUUCAGUACAGCUGCCGUACAGAAAACAAGUGAGCACUUGCUUCAGGCAUGUAUAGAACAUUUUUUAGCUCAGUAUCCUGCCAAACAUUGUUUAGACAUAUUUGAAUUUUUAUUAUUCCUUGUUCAUGAGCUUGCAUGCACACACUUUGUUUAUCAACUGAAAUCCUUUCAGGAACAACAAAUUUUUUAUAGGAUGUAAGGUAUAGUUUAUUCAAAGUGAUGUGUUUAGAUGCACCACUUUCGCAGUACCACUUGUUGAUAUUAUUACAGUCAUUGAGUGAGACACCUAUCACAUGUGAGAGAAAUACACUACUAUCAUCUGUAUGCUUGUAUGUGUUGCUAUAUGUGUUUUUCUGUGGGCAUUCUGCUGCCAGUGACUUAAUUUCUUGCACUUUUUGCAUGGAAAUUGUUUUGCACAUUCCAUAUCCUUUUUCAUUCUUCCAAAUCCUUUUUCAUUCUUUUUUAUUUUGCUGAGACUCUUUCAAUUCACCUUGUGUUACAAAUGCUGUUGUUUUUGUUGUAUUCUGAUCAUGCAGUUCAAUAGUGC